rnacentral:rRNA from 1 species
GGGGGAUAACAGUUGGAAACGACUGCUAAUACCGCAUAAGCGCACAGGAUCGCAUGAUCCGGUGUGAAAAACUCCGGUGGUAUGGGAUGGACCCGCGUCUGAUUAGCCAGUUGGCAGGGUAACGGCCUACCAAAGCGACGAUCAGUAGCCGACCUGAGAGGGUGACCGGCCACAUUGGGACUGAGACACGGCCCAAACUCCUACGGGAGGCAGCAGUGGGGAAUAUUGCACAAUGGGGGAAACCCUGAUGCAGCGACGCCGCGUGAGCGAAGAAGUAUUUCGGUAUGUAAAGCUCUAUCA